AACAAAUUAAAAAAAGAGAUUAAGAACAAAUAACGUAAGGAAGAAAGGAAUAGACCUCAAUGAAUUUGAAAUAUCAAAACCACGGACAAGAACUCUACUAGAAUGUCUCACACGAAACCUCACCGAAUUUUGACCGGAAAAAGUCACAGUAGCAGGAGCGCGAAAUGCGAACACAUCUCCAAAACUUUGAACACUCAUCUCGAUAUCAUUCCAUUUUAAAAUGAAAAUCUAGCGGAAGAAACAGAAUCUUUCCCUUUUUUGUAUUUUUUCUGAUUUGGGAGUAAACAAAACCCAUGAACCCUUUCCCUUUGAUUUCUCCUACUGUGCAUGCGUGUGUGUAUGGUCUCUAGUUAGCUAGUAGCCAACUACUACGAUGGAAUGGCAGCGGGGAAGUAGGGAUGAGGUAGUGACAGUAUCUUAAGCAUCACCGGUGGUUAAAUCCAGAGGGCAGCGAGUCUUAAUGUCAAAGGAAUAUAUACAGAAGGGUGAACUAGAGAUGGGAAACUGUGGUCGUUGGUUGUUCGUCAUGGAGAUAGGAAGACGUCGAUGGAAAAUAUGGCUUUCUGGCAAGUUUCACGCGAAAGGGGAGGUGGUAAGGCCAGCGAAUUUGAGUGGUCGUCAGCAGUAGGGGUGUGGUGGGCGGUUAGGUGAUUCUUUUAGGUUUAAUGUGUCUAGGUUCAGAAGUU
rnacentral:lncRNA from 1 species